GACGUAGGGAGCGAGCGUUGUCCGGAUUCAUUGGGCGUAAAGGGUCCGUAGGCGGCUCAGCAAGUCGGGUGUGAAAUCUCCAGGCUCAACCUGGAGGGGCCACUCGAUACUGCUGUGGCUUGAGUCCAGUAGGGGAGCAUGGAAUUCCCGGUGUAGCGGUGAAAUGCGCAGAUAUCGGGAGGAACACCAGUGGCGAAGGCGGUGCGUCUGGGCUGGAACUGACGCUGAUGGACGA
rnacentral:rRNA from 1 species